GUCUGGUUGAUCCUGCCGGAGGCUACCGCUAUUGGAGUUCGAUUAAGCCAUGCGAGUCGCGAGAAAUUAGAUUCUCGGCGUACCGCUCAGUAACACGUGGGUAACCUGCCCUAUGCUGGAUAAUAACCUCGGGAAACUGAGAAUAAUGAUCCAUAGUUCACUACGCCUGGAACGGUGAGUGGAUGAAAGCUCCGGCGGCAUAGGAUGGGCCUGCGGCGUAUCAGGUUGUAGGGGGUGUAACGUACCCUCUAGCCCUCUACGCGUACGGGUGUUGGGAGACAUAGCCCGGAGAUGGAUUCUGAGACACGAAUCCAAACCCUACGGGGUGCAGCAGGCGCGAAAACUUGGCAAUGCGAGAAAUCGUGACCAGGGAACUCCAAGUGCAUCGGGUAAGACCGGUGCUUUUCUUGACUCUAAAUAGGUCUUGGAAUAAGGGGUGGGUAAGGACGGUGCCAACCGCCGCGGUAAUACCGGCGCCUCAAGUGGUAGUCGCUUUUAUUGGGCCUAAAACGUCCGUAGCCGGUCUGAUACAUUCGUGGGUAAAUCAACCAGCUUAACUGGUUGAAUUCUGCGAGGACGGUCAGACUUGGGACCGGGAGAGGUGUGGGGUACGCUCAGGGUAGGGGUAAAAUCCUGUCAUCCUGAGCGGACCACCUGUUGCGAAGGCGCCACACUAGAACGGAUCCGACGGUCAGGGACGAAGCCUAGGGGCACGAACCGGAUUAGAUACCCGGGUAGUCCUAGGUGUAAACGCUGUGGACUUGAUGUUGGGGGUGCUCCGAGCACUCUCAGUGUCGAAGCGAAGGUGAUAAGUCCACUGCCUGGGAAGUACGGUCGCAAGGCUGAAACUUAAAGGAAUUGGCGGGGGAGCACCGCAACCUGAGGAUUGUGCGGUUUAAUUGGACUCAACGCCGGGA
rnacentral:rRNA from 1 species